UUUGUUACUUCAAACCAAUCGGACUUCGGUCUGACAUCAAGUGAUAUUGAACAAUUUAGCUGAUCGCACGGUCUAAGAACCGGCGACAUAUCCUUCAAAUGUCUGCCUUAUCAACUUUCGAUGGUAGAUUAUGCGCCUACCAUGGUUGUAACGGGUAACGGAGAAUCAGGGUUUGAUUCCGGAGAGGGAGCCUGAGAAACGGCUACCACAUCCAAGGAAGGCAGCAGGCACGCAAAUUACCCACUCCCGGCACGGGGAGGUAGUGACGAAAAAUAACAAGCUGGUCUCAAUGAGUUCCAGCAUUGUAAUGGGAAUAAUUUAAAUCUUUUAUCGAGGAUCUAUUGGAGGGCAAGUCUGGUGCCAGCAGCCGCGGUAAUUCCAGCUCCAAUAGCGUAUAUUAAAGUUGUUGCGGUUAAAAAGCUCGUAGUUGGAUCUAGGAUUAGGGCUACGGUCGUUCAGCUUGGACGUACUGUAUGCCCGACUCCUUUUCUCUAGUAUUCGAUUGUUGCUCUUAAAUGAGUGACUUUAGUUGCUGGAACUUUUACCUUGAAAAAAUUGAAGUGCUCAAAGCAGGUU
rnacentral:rRNA from 1 species